rnacentral:siRNA from 1 species
AGGCAAAGAAAACUAGAAAAACUC